rnacentral:rRNA from 1 species
UGGGGAAUAUUGCACAAUGGAGGAAACUCUGAUGCAGCGACGCCGCGUGAGUGAAGAAGUAGUUCGCUAUGUAAAGCUCUAUCAGCAGGGAAGAUAGUGACGGUACCUGACUAAGAAGCUCCGGCUAAAUACGUGCCAGCAGCCGCGGUAAUACGUAUGGAGCAAGCGUUAUCCGGAUUUACUGGGUGUAAAGGGAGUGUAGGUGGCCAGGCAAGUCAGAAGUGAAAGCCCGGGGCUCAACCCCGGGACU